ACCCUCCAGAUUCCUUACUCCUCAGAUCUAAAUAUUGGUCUGAGUGGCCGAAAAAGAAAGGAAGAAAAGUAAAACUGAAGUGAACAUGAAGUCUCUUAGGA
rnacentral:snoRNA from 1 species